UGGUGGUGUGAGUUGUCUGGUUGAUUCCGUUAACGAACGAGACCUUUGUUGUAUAAUAGGAGGCACUAGUUUUUGCGUCAAGGGUGGUCGGGACUUCUUGGGAUACGAGCAAUCGCCCCGGGAAAAUCGUGGCCACUUGCAUAGCUAGUGUCAGUUUCCUUCUAUACAAGACAAAUACAGAAAAUGUAUUGGAAGUUAUAGGCAAAAACA
rnacentral:rRNA from 1 species